rnacentral:rRNA from 1 species
CCUACGGGAGGCAGCAGUAGGGAAUCUUCCACAAUGGGCGAAAGCCUGAUGGAGCAACGCCGCGUGGGUGAAGAAGGUCUUCGGAUCGUAAAACCCUGUUGUUAGAGAAGAAAGUGCGUGAGAGUAACUGUUCACGUUUCGACGGUAUCUAACCAGAAAGCCACGGCUAACUACGUGCCAGCAGCCGCGGUAAUACGUAGGUGGCAAGCGUUAUCCGGAUUUAUUGGGCGUAAAGGGAACGCAGGCGGUCUUUUAAGUCUGAUGUGAAAGCCUUCGGCUUAACCGGAGUAGUGCAUUGGAAACUGGGAGACGUGAGUGCAGAAGAGGAGAGUGGAACUCCAUGUGUAGCGGUGAAAUGCGUAGAUAUUAGGAGGAACACCAGUGGCGAAGGCGGCCUGCUGGGCUUUUACUGACGCUGAGGCUCGAAAGUGUGGGGAGCAAACAGGAUUAGAUACCCCAGUAGUC